rnacentral:lncRNA from 12 species
UCCAGGGCCACUGUGAGACCUGUAAACCACUGCAGUGCAGCCCAAGCCCUGAGCCUGUGUGAAGAUUUAGACAUGCCCAAGGGAUUUAGGGAUGUCCAAGCCUGGCAGGGGUGGGAAAACUGAGAUGUUCUUGCUUGAGAUCCUCGAGUGGAGCUAAGGAACCAAAUUUCUUAUAUAAUUGAUGCUUCAUUUCCUCAUUAAUGCCACAAAGAUUUAUGUGAAGGGACUUCCAGAGUGCUAAUGGAAUUACCCACCUAAAUCUCCCCCACGCCAACGGCAGGGAACGCUCUGGUUCUUUGCCCUCAUGUCAGUGCUGGAUUUCCCUUUCUCCUCUUUUAAAGCCCCCGAGAGUUCAUUUCCUGGUGUCGUUGUCAUAACUCCAGAUCUGAGUAAUUCGUUUGUAUUUGUGUCAAUCCCACGUUUGCUUCUGUAAGUAUUGCAUGCAAUUCAGACUAAAUGAAGAGCUAAACUAAAGCUGGUACUGAGCAAAUCAGGCUGCAAACUGUGUGCAUAGAGCCCUUUGCAUGAGCUCCUCUGUGCCAUCAGGUGUUCUCUGCUGGAUGCAGUGUUUCUCUUGGAUCAUUUAUACAAAAAGGCCACUUUGAUUUUUGUUUCCUUAUCAG